rnacentral:rRNA from 1 species
AGCGAACGCUGGCGGCAGGCCUAACACAUGCAAGUCGAGCGCCCAGCAAUGGGAGCGGCAGACGGGAUAGUAACACGUGGGAACGUACCUUUCAGUUCGGAACAACCAAGGGAAACUUUGGCUAAUACCGAAUACGCCCGUAGGGGGAAAGAUUUAUCGCUGAAAGAUCGGCCCGCGUCUGAUUAGCUAGUUGGUGAGGUAAUGGCUCACCAAGGCGACGAUCAGUAGCUGGUCUGAGAGGAUGAUCAGCAUCACUGGGACUGAGACACGGCCCAGACUCCUACGGGAGGCAACAGUGGGGAAUAUUGGACAAUGGGCGCAAGCCUGAUCCAGCCAUGCCGCGUGAGUGAUGAAGGCCUUAGGGUUGUAAAGCUCUUUCGUCAGGGAAGAUAAUGACGGUACCUGAAGAAGAAGCCCCGGCUAACUUCGUGCCAGCCGCCGCGGUAAGAC